ACCUGUGGUUUCCUGCUGCCUGUGUGCCUUCUUGACUCUCUACCCUGCUCUUUUUCUACACAGCAAAUCUACUGGCAAUUAAGAGCUACAUGGAGUUCAUUAAUGAAUAACAGAUCAAGAUUUAUGAUCUUUCAGAGGAAAACUUCAAUUUCCUCCCAGCUUCCUUCCUCACACAACAUAUUGACAUUAGAGGCUCUGUGAUGCCCAAGGAUGACAGAGACUGAAGAGCAAAGUUCUGGCAGCUUUGCACCAAAGAGCUGCUGGUAGUCUUCUUGCUCACAGUCAAGGCAAAACAGUGAUGAUUUACAAAGGGAUGCUGUGAUUUAAUGUCUUAAAGCAUAAACACGGAGUAGGAUGAAAUAGCA